rnacentral:rRNA from 1 species
UGAGUAAUAUAUCGGAACGUACCAUUCAGUGGGGGAUAACGUAGCGAAAGUUACGCUAAUACCGCAUAUUCUGUGAGCAGGAAAGCAGGGGAUCGCAAGACCUUGCGCUGAUUGAGCGGCCGAUAUCAGAUUAGCUUGUUGGUGAGGUAAAAGCUCACCAAGGCGACGAUCUGUAGCGGGUCUGAGAGGAUGAUCCGCCACACUGGAACUGAGACACGGUCCAGACUCCUACGGGAGGCAGCAGUGGGGAAUUUUGGACAAUGGGGGCAACCCUGAUCCAGCCAUGCCGCGUGAGUGAAGAAGGCCUUCGGGUUGUAAAGCUCUUUCAGCCGGGAAGAAAACGCAUGGGUUAAUACCCUGUGUGGAUGACGGUACCGGAAUAAGAAGCACCGGCUAACUACGUGCCAGCAGCCGCGGUAAUACGUAGGGUGCGAGCGUUAAUCGGAAUUACUGGGCGUAAAGCGUGCGCAGGCGGUUUUGUAAGACAGGCGUGAAAUCCCCGGGCUUAACCUGGGAACUGCGUUUGUGACUGCAAGGCCAGAGUACGGCAGAGGGGGGUGGAAUUCCACGUGUAGCAGUGAAAUGCGUAGAGAUGUGGAGGAACACCAAUGGCGAAGGCAGCCCCCUGGGUCGAUACUGACGCUCAUGCACGAAAGCGUGGGUAGCAAACAGGAUUAGAUACCCUGGUAGUCCACGCCCUAAACGAUGUCAACUAGGUGUUGGGAGGGUAAAACCUUUUAGUACCGGAGCUAACGCGUGAAGUUGACCGCCUGGGGAGUACGGCCGCAAGGUUAAAACUCAAAGGAAUUGACGGGGACCCGCACAAGCGGUGGAUGAUGUGGAUUAAUUCGAUGCAACGCGAAAAACCUUACCUACCCUUGACAUGCCAAGAACUUUCCAGAGAUGGAUUGGUGCCCGAAAGGGAACUUGGACACAGGUGCUGCAUGGCUGUCGUCAGCUCGUGUCGUGAGAUGUUGGGUUAAGUCCCGCAACGAGCGCAACCCUUGUCGUUAAUUGCCAUCAUUUAGUUGGGCACUUUAACGAGACUGCCGGUGACAAACCGGAGGAAGGUGGGGAUGACGUCAAGUCCUCAUGGCCCUUAUGGGUAGGGCUUCACACGUCAUACAAUGGUCGGUACAAAGGGUCGCCAAGCCGCGAGGUGGAGCCAAUCCCAGAAAGCCGAUCGUAGUCCGGAUCGCAGUCUGCAACUCGACUGCGUGAAGUCGGAAUCGCUAGUAAUCGUGGAUCAGAAUGUCACGGUGAAUACGUUCCCGGGUCUUGUACACACCGCCCGUCACACCAUGGGAGCGGGUUCCGCCAGAAGUAGGUAGCCUAACCGCAAGGAGGGCGCUUACCACGGCGGGGUUCGUGACUGGGGUGAAGUCGUAACAAGGUA